UGCAGGCAACGGAGCGGUCAUGUGGGGCAGGCGGAGCCAGGGAUUGGGAGGCCCUGCCUGGAUAGGAAACCCAGGCGGUCGCUGCGGACGGGAAGGAGGUUCCCUCGGCGGCACCGUCACCGCCGUUAAGCAUCCUUCCUCGGGCUGGCGGGGCCCGUUUCCCCUCCUCUUGAAAAGUCGCUUCCCUUCCUGAGAAUGACACUUCCCGGUUCUGAAACCGCCCCGCGUUGCUUCACUUUUCCGUGCCUUUAGCCACAAGUAGCCGCGCUAUCCUCUCCCAAGGGAUUCAUCUAAGUAAGGGCAGAGGGUCCCGGGAACCUAGGAAAUAGGUUACACGGAAAAUGAAUCCUGUAGCCAGGAAAAUAGAGGGUUCCGUUGCUUCCCCUAAAACCCUGCAUGGAGAGAGUUCAUGUAAUGCAAGAGGCUGAGCCAGUAGAAAAAAGGAGUUGCUAGAUGUGGUGUUAAGUUUUUUCAGCCAAAUAUCUUCAGGUGUACUUAUUUUUUACAGCCUUAUUAUUGAAACACCUCCUCUUGUCUCUGGUUUUAUGAAAAGGAAAAGCAUUUUCUUCAUCUGGAUUUCUAAUGAAUACAAUUCUAUGGCAGACAAAGCAACCAAUUUUAUUAGCUCUCUUCAUUAUAGUGUGCUCGGUAGGUUCAUCCUUUCUAAUGCUGAGGAUCUUUCACCGAUCUCUGCAUGAUAUAGGAUGUCCAAAUUGGUUACUGGUGUUAGGUCCUGGUCCUUUUCAUUUUGGGCAAGGGGGUUUUGACCCGACAGUAAUAGUUGCAUAGGUAGUUGUUGACUUAAAUUAAGCAAAAGUUACAACAGACUGAAAAAGCCCUCUUACAACCACACCAGUCCUAGCAAUUAUGACCAUUGCAGCAUCACCACAGCCACAUAAUCAAAAUUCAGGCACUUGGCAACCAGCAUGUAUUUACAAUAGUUGCAGGGUCCUGAAGUCAUGUGAUUACCAUUCCCAGCUAGCCAAGUCAAUGCGGGAAGCCAGAUUCACUUAACAACUGAGUGAUUAAACUGUGGCAAAAUGGUUGGGUGUGACUCACUUAACAGCCUUGCUUAGUAACAGAAAGUCUAGUCCCAAUUGUGGUCAUAUGUCGAGGACUAUAUUUCGGCUAUGGAGAACAGACAACUAACCUAAGAAGUGUUUUGAGAAAUUGUAAUUUCUCUGGAAUAAGAAAUUCACUGGAAGGUGAUAAGUGAUCUGAAUGGGAUGCUUGCUGCUGGAUGAGGAAGUGUGCAUAGCAGCUUUCUGCUAUUCUGUAAAAAUGGAUUGAAGCCACAGAAUGCAAUCAACCCAAACAGCUGCUGUUCAGUCUACUGGGCCUCCGUGAAAUAAAUGCUGAUUGUAGGUCAUUCUCAGAUACCAUUACAUGGCGACCCUUGAAGAGCAUUUGGAAGCUGCAGUUGGUACAAAAAGAAACAGCACAAGCAGUUAUGGUUAUUGGCAGGAUUGCUUCUUCAUGAUAAUGUCUAUCCAUCCUAUCCCAUUACCUGGAAGAGGAGAUUUGUAAUAGCUUUUUUUCAUUAUCAAAAGAUCAGUUUCUCUGGAGAGCAAAAGAAAGACU